rnacentral:rRNA from 1 species
CCUACGGGAGGCAGCAGUGAGGAAUAUUGGUCAAUGGGCGGAAGCCUGAACCAGCAAAGCAGCGUGCAGGAUGACGGCCCUACGGGUUGUAAACUGCUUUUAUACGGGAAUAACGCGCCUUACGUGUAGGGCUUUGCAUGUAUCGUAUGAUUCCGGACCGGCUAAUUCCGUGCCAGCAGCGGCGGUAAUACGGAAGGUCCGGGCGUUAUCCGGAUUUAUUGGGUUUAAAGGGAGCGUAGGCUGCAGGGCAAGCGUGCUGGGAAAGGUCCGGGCUCAACCCGGGCCUUGCAGCGCGAACUGGCGUGCUUGAGGCCACGGGAGGCAGGCGGAAUUCGUCGUGUAGCGGUGAAAUGCUUAGAUAUGACGAAGAACCCCAGUUGCGAAGGCAGCUUGCUGCAGCGUAACUGACGCUGAUGCUCGAAAGCGCGGGUAUCGAACAGGAUUAGAUACCCGAGUAGUC